GAUGAACGCUAGCGGGAGGCCUAACACAUGCAAGCCGAGCGGUAGAGUUUCUUCGGAAACUUGAGAGCGGCGCACGGGUGCGUAACACGUGUGCAACCUACCUUUAUCUGGGGGAUAGCCUUUCGAAAGGAGGAUUAAUACCCCAUAAUAUAAUGAUUGGCAUCAAUUAUUAUUGAAAACUCCGGUGGAUAGAGAUGGGCACGCGCAAGAUUAGAUAGUUGGUGAGGUAACGGCUCACCAAGUCAAUGAUCUUUAGGGGUCCUGAGAGGGAGAUCCCCCACACUGGUACUGAGACACGGACCAGACUCCUACGGGAGGCAGCAGUGAGGAAUAUUGGACAAUGGGUGAGAGCCUGAUCCAGCCAUCCCGCGUGAAGGAUGACGGUCCUAUGGAUUGUAAACUUCUUUUGUACAGGGAUAAACCUACCCUCGUGAGGGUAGCUGAAGGUACUGUACGAAUAAGCACCGGCUAACUCCG
rnacentral:rRNA from 1 species